UGGGUUUGACAUGCACCAGACGCGUUCAGAGAUGGGCGUUCCCUUGUGGUUGGUGUGCAGGUGGUGCAUGGCUGUCGUCAGCUCGUGUCGUGAGAUGUUGGGUUAAGUCCCGCAACGAGCGCAACCCUUAUUCCAUGUUGCCAGCACGUGAUGGUGGGGACUCAUGGGAGACUGCCGGGGUCAACUCGGAGGAAGGUGGGGAUGACGUCAAGUCAUCAUGCCCCUUAUGUCCAGGGCUUCACACAUGCUACAAUGGCUCAUACAGAGGGCUGCGAGACCGUGAGGUGGAGCGAAUCCCUUAAAGUGGGUCUCAGUUCGGAUCGGGGUCUGCAACUCGACCCCGUGAAGUCGGAGUCGCUAGUAAUCGCAGAUCAGCAACGCUGCGGUGAAUACGUUCCCGGGCC
rnacentral:rRNA from 1 species